UACGGAGGGUGCGAGCGUUGUCCGGAAUCACUGGGCGUAAAGGGCGCGUAGGCGGCCUGAUAAGUAGGGGGUGAAAUCCUGCGGCUUAACCGCAGGGCUGCCUUCUAAACUGUCAGGCUCGAGCACAGUAGAGGCAGGUGGAAUUCCCGGUGUAGCGGUGGAAUGCGUAGAGAUCCGGAAGAACACCGGUGGCGAAGGCGGUUAGCUGGGCAGUAGCUGACACUGAGCGCGACA
rnacentral:rRNA from 1 species